rnacentral:rRNA from 1 species
AUUGAACGCUGGCGGCAUGCCUAACACAUGCAAGUCGAGCGGAAACAGGCCGUGGGGUCCUGUCGUGUGGUGGAGGCGGGCGUGUUGCAUCGAAACGUAUACCGUGGUGGGGGGUAUCGCAUCGAAAGCUGUGCUCGGAGCGCAUAUGAUCUGAGAUUGAGAACGGGGGGGCGCGCAGGAAUGUGUGGCCUCGCGUGUUUCUAGCAGACGAUGUCGGAUUAGCUAGUUGGUGGGGUAAAGGCCUACCAAGGCGACGAUCCGUAGCUGGUCUGAGAGGACGAUCAGCCACACUGGAACUGAGACACGGCCCAGACUCCUACGGGAGGCAGCAGUGGGGAAUUUUGGACAAUGGGCGAAAGCCUGAUCCAGCAAUGCCGCGUGCGUGAAGAAGGUCUUCGGAUUGUAAAACGCUUUUAGUAGGGAGGAAGCGGUGUCCGCUAAUACCUGGCGGUAUUGACGGUACCUGAAGAAUAAGCACCGGCUAACUACGUG